AGGUUUCUGUUCAAGUAGAAGUAACAACACCUCAUGUGGAACCAAGAGGUUCAAUUCUGAGUAACCUACCAGGUCUCUGGAUGCCAACACAGCUUUCUCAGCUGCUGCUACUGCACGUACACACGGGGGAAACUCUGCAGUGACUGGAUCCAACUUACCUGAGAAUGAGCUGUCCAACCUGUCACAUUUGCCAUCUCUCUAAGUGUUGCUUCUACAAUGGAAUAGUUUAGAAUGAAAGUUCUGCAAUACGAACAUAUACCUGGGAAAGAUAGAACCUGUUUCUUCAUCAGAGGCUUUGGAAUCUUCUAGAUUGCAGAUACUCUGUCUGCGGAGAGUUUAUUUCCCUUUGCAGAAAUGUCAUGACCCAAGACUCUCACUUCUUGCUGUAUAUAUCUUGCUGUACAUUAGCAGGAAUGUAGCAAAACAUGGAGGUGAAAGCAGCGGUCUGUUUAUUUAAAUGUGAAAGUGCAAUAAAAAUAUGUCGUCACUAAAAUCAAUGAAUAAUCGUGAUAAAUAAUCGGGAUUAACAUUUUGGCCAUAAUCGUGCAGCCCUAAUAUAUACCCGUCAGUAUAUAUCUUAGUUUUGAAGCGGUGAUCUAAGAAACACCAAUAUCUCUGCCGUCGCAGAGGCGAAGUUCCUGGAACUUCUUAUAAGAAUUCACUUCAUGUAAUACUUCUCUCAAUGUAAUAUACGCAUUUCUUAUAUCAUUGACUCCCUUCCCUAGAGACAGCAGUACACAAUGACUUCAUAAAAUUCUAAUUCUAAUUCUAAAUUCUUGAUGAUUCAUACCAGUUACUGUUAAGGCUGCAUCCUUCUUUCGCUCUGCACAACAAAGGGUAAAUCGCCUUCGCGUCAACACAGACUUCAGAGUGAAACUUUUCCACGAGCGUCCUCCGGUUUGCUUGUUGUCCAGAAAAGCUGAAAAGACUCGCGCAGCCCACCCAGGGAUGCCAAAUUGUCGUGGAAAAUAGACAACACUCGCAAACUCAUCCUCUGAAGACUGGACAUUCUCCUUUUAGGAUUUUCUGGUAGAGAGCAGAAUUCAUGUUUCCCUCGAUUAUUGCAAGUUGCCCAGGCCCUGAAACAGCAAAGCAUCCCCACACCAUCACACUUCCACCACCAUGCCUGAGCUUAGUUCCAUUUUCAACUCAUCAGUCCACAGAACAUUCUCCCAAAAGUUUUGAGGAUCAUCAAGCUGUGUUUUGGUAAAAUUCAGACAAGAGUUAAUGUUCUUCUGGGUUAGCAGUGGUUUUCACCUCGCCACUCUUCCAUGGAUGCCAUUUUUGCCCAGUGUCUUUCUGAUAGUGGAGUCAUGAACAGUGACUUUUAUUGAUGCAAGAGAGGCCUGUAGGUCCUUUGAUGCAGUCCUUGGGUCCUUUUUGACUUCCUGAAUGAGUUGCUGUGCUCUUGGAGGAAUUUUGUAAGGUCAG
ensembl:lncRNA